UUUCAGAAAUUUUAAAUAAUGUCUACAUACUGGAGAUAGUCUAUCAUAUGUAGAGUUCGAGUUUUGAAAUAUAUGUAUAAUUAAAUAUCUAUCGGAAGCAAUAACAACAAACGAAACAAGAACGAAAAUGUUAAACAAGAAAGCAACAAGAAGAGAUAAAAUAAUUGUAUAAUUCUACCUUGUCUACGACACAUAUCUGAUAUCGUAUCGGCAAGAAGUAAAUCUGGUCAGUAGAAUGUUCGGAUGUCAAAACGGAAGUUAGGAAAGUUCAAUCAUCAAAGUGAAUUGGAAACAAGAUUACAUAAGUAAAUUUUACACUGAAAGCACAAGACAGGGGAAGGAAAAGUGGGGAGGUGACGCAGCGGGGGUAGUUGGCUACUUAGCAGCUGAAUUCGAGUUCACUGACAUUUCCGAGCACGCGCGAUGCGAGUCUCGUUUCAUUUACAACAACGACGACGACGACGACGACGACGAAGACGACGACAAACGCACGUGCACCAUUCGCACGGAAAACGUGACGCUCGCCUUUGCAAGCGGAUUCGGCCUCGCAUGCCUCUGGCAUCCCGCCAUAUGCCGAGUAUUCACGGAAUAGUGAAUCCUUGAUUACGUAUACGCAGGGUAAUCUGGCAGAAAAUACAAAUGCCUCCUCCGCGGAUUCCUGAAUUAAUUCACAACAGAAGAAACUAUUAUUUCAUUCGAAUUCUACAUGUUUAUUGAAGUCUCGAAUAUUUUAACGAUACAUUUAAUCAAAUAACGAGCGAUAUGAAUUUAUGUCAAUCAUCAAAUGAAAUGCAUAUAAAUUACGCUGUAAAAUGUGCCGCUAAUAUUUCUUGUACAAUAGAUACGGAAAUGUUGCGAUUCCAAACACCGCAAGCAAAUACCACGUGUACAUAUGUACAUCCAUACUCUAAAUUGUUGACAUUAUUGUUAACUGUUGACACUGUAAUGCUGGAUUGACCGCAGAAUGUCUGCCGAGGAAUUAUUGCGAUAAUGCAAUCAUAUCGCGAGUAUUGUACAAUAAGAUUCGUUGUAUAAUAUUAAGAUAGCCAUUAUUGAAUCAUAUGCAUACAUAGACAUAUGUAUACAUAUUUAAUUGAAAGUCUAUUCAUUGACAUUAAGCAGAUAUAUUUUAUUGAAUCUUUUUGCAGAAAUAACAAUAAUUAAUAUAAACUAGAAGCACGUGCCAUUUUUUGUGGAUAUAAAAUGAGCAAAUUUUUACUGCAACGGGAAUUCAUCGAUUGUCUCCCAUUAACAAUAGGUAAUAAUUUUAAAAGUUAUCUUAUUGUUAAUUAUUUCCAAGAAAUACCAUUUGUAACUGCAGAAGUUUUGUCUACAUCGAGUAUACUUUUAACGUUAAUUAUCUCUCCUUUUUUUCUAUAAUUUCCGAUAAAAUAUGUUUUUCCUUACUUAUGCAAUUACGGAUUAUCUUAUACGCCAAUUAGACACAUAUAAAGUUUAUAUUUUCAUUCGUAUUGCAUGUAUCAUUCUUCUAUAUUUUUAAUUUUUUUCUUUUAUCUUUUUUCCGAUUUUUUUAUUACUAAGUCCAUUAUUAAGUCUACGAAGCGUAAAAACAAACCAAAUUAACAUAAUAUUACCGUGAAUAAUAAUUAUUCAAAUAAUUGUUCUCAAUUCUAUGAUGAAGCUUCGCAAUUAAAGAAUAAUAGUGCACAAAAUUUAAAAAGCGGCAGAUAGUUUAGUUUAAAAUUGAUUUUAAAAAAUUGAAUAUAUAUUAAAAGCAUAAAAGCUUGAAUAUUACAAUGCACUGCUUAAGAGACGUUUUUUCUUUAUAAUUAAAAAAUUAAUUAAAGAGC